AUCCCUUUGGCAACAUAUAUACUAAAAUAGAAAUGACACAGAAGAUUAGCCUGGCCUCUGUGCAAGGAAGAUGCUCAAAUUUUUGAAGUAUUCAAAAUUUUU
ensembl:snRNA U6 U6 spliceosomal RNA